rnacentral:rRNA from 1 species
AGCGAACGCUGGCGGCAGGCCUAACACAUGCAAGUCGAACGAAGCCUUCGGGCUUAGUGGCGGACGGGUGAGUAACACGUGGGAACGUACCUUUUGGUUCGGAAUAACGCAGAGAAAUUUGCGCUAAUACCGAAUGAGCCCUUCGGGGGAAAGAUUUAUCGCCGAAAGAUCGGCCCGCGUUGGACUAGGUAGUUGGUGUGGUAAAGGCGCACCAAGCCUACGAUCCAUAGCUGGUCUGAGAGGAUGAUCAGCCACACUGGGACUGAGACACGGCCCAGACUCCUACGGGAGGCAGCAGUGGGGAAUCUUGCGCAAUGGGCGAAAGCCUGACGCAGCCAUGCCGCGUGGAUGAUGAAGGUCUUAGGAUUGUAAAAUUCUUUUACCAGGGACGAUAAUGACGGUACCUGGAGAAAAAGCCCCGGCUAACUUCGUGCCAGCCGCCGCCGUAAGAC